CAGAUGCCACAUCAAAAUAACCUGCAGUCAGUAAGGGAUUUUUUUGGAAGACAACCACCCUUCCUAAUGAAGAAAAUAAUAAUCACUCACAAAUCAAUGUUUUGAAUAGUUUUAAGUAAUCUUCGUUCACAAAUGAAUAUCUAAACUCACUGGCUGCACAGUAUUGCUACUUUCUAACCAAAAAUUUUCAAAAAUUAAACAUUUGUUAACAUGAUAGCUUAUUAUAUUCUAUUUAACAAGUUAUAAUAUAAAGCAUAUACUUAUCCUGGAUUUACUGAUAAGAAAUGUAACUAAAAGCCGCUGUAACGAGAAUAUAAUUUGUUGUAACCGCUUCA